CCAACAUUUGAAAACAAUUCCGUUGCGUUGUUGGAGUUGCAGUUUAUUGAGCUCGAUCGAGAAGUGCGACGAAGAAGGCCGUUAAUAAUUCUUUUAAAGAAUACGGGUCAGAUAUGGACAACGACUUCGAAGACAUUUGCAGUAGGCUAAACAGGGAAAGAGAGGGAGAACCAAAACUCCUUGUCCUGGCAUCACACUUGAGGAGGAGAUGAAGUCAGUGAAUAUGACCUAGCCCGGGGGAGUUUCCAGAAGGCCCAGAACCGCCGGCCGCCAGGAGUGGAGGUCCUUCGUUGUUGCCCUACGUGCCAAGCGGCAUCAGGCAGUAGAUGCUGUAAGUGUACCCAGUCAUCUGGUUUCGUAACACCUUUUAUAGCGCUAUUGGAACCUGCUCCCUACCAGUAUAACAUCGAACAGAUUGGAAGAAUAAAGGCCAAUGGGAAGUGCCUUGUAUACCCCUACUUGCCGCACAGCAGUCCGUGGUUUAGCGCAAUCUAAACUUGACUAUUGUAGCUCUUCGUGCUUGAAUUAGGGUGAUCUGGACCGACUGCAGAUAGUACAGAAUGCUGCAUCUAUUGUGCCAUUUGCCAUACGCCCACUUCGCUGGCUGCAAGUCAAGGAAAGGAUAUACAUAAACAUCAGUGUCCGUCUACUGAUUUUCAAAGUCAAUGACAGGGGUCCAGAUUACAUGUAUUAAAAGGAAUGCCUUGUGCGUCAUUUUCAUUCUAGGCGCACUUGCCUUUUUAUUUUUGUGAUCCUUAGUCUACGAUGCACCUACAAAUUAGCUACUGGUGAUGCAACUUUCUCCACUACUGCUCCAAGGCCAUGGAAUUAGCUCCACCCUCUCCUCCAAUUUUCAACAACCUUGGAUCAAUAUACUUUGAGAAGACCUACCACAUUCCUGAUCAUCUUUGCUCUGGACUUGGAACAACACUGUCACUGCCUGGUAAUUUAAUUUUUUUUAAUCUCAUGUGCUGACUAGGAUGGCAUCUGAAAGUGCUUUGUAUCUCACAAAUAAUGUGUUGUGUAAAAGAGAACAGGCAUUGAGGUCAAGCAUAAGGGUAACCAUGGAUAUGGCCUUUGAUUACUUUUUAACAAAAACUGAAAAAUUCAUCAAAAUAGGACAAGGGGUAAUAAAGUAAUGUAUGGCAUUCUAAGCUCUGCA